CCCUAUUCUCAUGCAAGUGAGAGUAGCCAGUGAUGUCAAACUUCCAAGAAAAGCUUAAACACCAUUAACAAUAGAAUCACCUGUACCUGAAACCGACACAGGUAGGUUGGUAGAGAAUACCAAGGGGCGCGAGAGAACUCUCUCUAAGGAACUCGGCAAACUAGCCCCGUAACUUCGGAAGAAGGGGCGCCCUCUAAUAAAGGGUCACAGUAAACCGGUCCAGGCGACUGUUUAUCAAAAACACAGGUCUCCGCAAAGUCGUAAGACAAAAUAUGGGGGCUGACGCCUGCCCAGUGCCGGAAGGUUAAGGAAGUUGGUUAUACAUUUAGUUGUAGAAGCUGACGACCGAAGCCCCGGUGAACGGCGGCCGUAACAAUAACGGUCCUAAGGUAGCGAAAUUCAUUGUCGAGUAAGUUUCGACCUGCACGAAAGGCGUAACGAUCUGGACGCUGUCUCAGAGAGAGACUCGGUGAAAUAGACUUGUCCGUGAAGAUGCGGACUACUUGCACCUGGACAGAAAGACCCUAUGAAGCUUGACUGUAUCCUGGAAUUGGGUUCGGGCUUUUCUUGCGCAGCCUAGGUGGGAGGCUAUGAAGGUUCUCUUCCGGGAGAAUCAGAGCCGUCAUUGAGAGACCACUCUGGAAGAGCUAGAAUCCUAAUGGUGAUCUUUGAAUCAAGACACCUGACAGUUUCAGGUGGGCAGUUUGUCUGGGGCGGACACCUCAUAAAGCGUAACUGAGGUGCGCAAAGGUUCCCUCAGCCCCGUUGGAAAUGGGGCCUUGAGUGUAAAGGCAAAAGGGAGCUUGACUGCAAGACCUACAAGUCGAGCAGGGGCGAAAGCCGGCCUUAGUGAUCCGACGGUGCCGUGUGGAAGGGCCGUCGCUCAACGGAUAAAAGUUACUCUAAGGAUAACAGGCUGAUCUUCCCCAAGAGUUCACAUCGACGGGAAGGUUUGGCACCUCGAUGUCGGCUCAUCACAUCCUGGGGCGGUAGUACGUCCCAAGGGUUGGGCUGUUCGCCCAUUAAAGUGGUACGUGAGCUGGGUUCAAAACGUCGUGAGACAGUUUGGUCCAUAUCCGGUGUAAGCGCUAGAAUAUUGAGAGGAUCAAUUCAUAGUACGAGAGGACCUGAAUUGACGUGCCAAUGGUGUUUCUGUUAUCGUUCCAACGGUAAACGCAGAGUAGCUACGCACGGAGACGAUAAACGCUGACAGCAUAUAAGUGUGAAGCGCACCUCAAGAUGAGUAUUCUCCAUUAGGUCGCGAGAAGACAACUCGUUUAAUAGGCAUUAGGUCUACAGUCAGUAAUGGCUUCAGCCGAGAUGUACUAAAGACCGA
rnacentral:rRNA from 1 species